rnacentral:rRNA from 1 species
CCCUUAGAUGUCCGGGGCUGCACGCGCGCUACACUGAAGGAAUCAGCGUGCUAAAACCAUUGUCGAAAGACAUUGGUAAACCCAUUAAAAUCCUACGUGAUUGGGAUCGGGAAUUGCAAUUAUUUCCCUUGAACGAGGAAUUCCCAGUAAGUGUGGGUCAUAAGCUCGCGUUGAUUACGUCCCUGCCCUUUGUACACACCGCCCGUCGCUGCCCGGGACUGAGCCGUUUCGAGAAAAGCGGGGACUGCUGCUGUCGGGGCUUUCGGGCCUUGGCUUCGGUGGAAACCGCUUUAAUCGCAGUGGCUUGAACCGGGCAAAANUCGUAACA